rnacentral:rRNA from 1 species
AGUGAACGCUGGCGGUAGGCCUAACACAUGCCAGUCGAACGGCAGCACAGUAAGCGCUUGCUCUUACGGGUGGCGAGUGGCGGACGGGUGAGGCAUACAUCGGAAUCUACUUUUUCGUGGGGGAUAACGUAGGGAAACUUACGCUAAUACCGCAUACAACCUACGGGUGAAAGCAGGGGAUCUUCGGACCUUGCGCGAUUGAAUGAGCCGAUGUCGGAUUAGCUAGUUGGCGGGGUAAAGGCCCACCAAGGCGACGAUCCGUAGCUGGUCUGAGAGGAUGAUCAGCCACACUGGAACUGAGACACGGUCCAGACUCCUACGGGAGGCAGCAGUGGGGAAUAUUGGACAAUGGGCGCAAGCCUGAUCCAGCCAUACCGCGUGGGUGAAGAAGGCCUUCGGGUUGUAAAGCCCUUUUGUUGGGAAAGAAAAGCAGCAGGUUAAUACCCCGCUGUUCUGACGGUACCCAAAGAAUAAGCACCGGCUAACUUCGUG